AAUCUUUGCACCCAGAGGUUGCAGUAAGUCUGGAUGCCACAUCAAACUGUUUGUGGUACUUCUAAACUUCGUGGAAGAGCCCUGUUUCAUAAAUCUGAGACAGCCUUGGUCUGAGGGAGCAAAGACAGAGAAUUCACGUGCUGCCCAGGCAUAGCCACAUAGCAGGUGGACAUCCCUGGACACUUUUCUGAGAUUUUAUGUCAUAGACCCUCAUUGGAUUUUCCUGGAAGUACGGAGAGUUACAUCCAGAGAACUCUGAACAUUUUGGAAGGACCCCAAUCCUGCAAACAAUGAAUGGCAAUAAAUCCUGGGACUGGAAAGGUAUGAGGACCUCCAAGUAACCAUUGAGUUAAAAUUCCUUUACAUUAAAAACACACAAUAUAUGAAAUCAUUACAAAUCCCUGUGUCAAUUUGUUCUUUCAGGUUCAUAGAAGGCAUUUGUAAAUCUAUGACUAAAAGUAAAGUGAGAAGAUGUGAGUUUAAUAAGGAAAUGAUAGUCAAGUUUAUUAAAGCAAUAAUAUUACUUAUGUAUUGGUAUAAGUUUCCUAGACUACUUUUGUAAGAUGUGGAAUAUUUUGAAAGUUUGGAAUUUAACAAAUACUAAAAUUAAAUGAAAAGAUGGUUUUAUAUUUUAGGCUGAGACAUGUGAUUGUGCUAAGGUUGUGUGUUAAUAGGGACACCUUGACCUUCAUGCUUCCUUACUAUCACUUGCUUCUGUCUUGUACUUUUGGACCACUUAGGGAUGGAAAGAGGAGACCCUAGAGAUAUGGGGUGCUAACCACUCCUCCCUUUCCCAACCCCAUCUAUUAAAAAUAAUUGAAUUGCCACUCAUAUAAUAAUCAGAGAUGUUCAAAUUUGCCUAUUAAACAAAGACCUCUCCAACUGGGAAUAAUCUGAAGAAGUUCAGGAGUUUGUGUGAGGUGGGCAGGCACAGGAUGUUUUUACUUCAAACAGACAUCCUUAUACCUUCCAUUUGUGUGUUGCUAAAUGUCACCACUGUACUUUGCGUUUCUUUUCUUCCUUCCAGGGGCUUCUCAACCCCAAGGCAACCAUAAAGUCCUAUACAAAGAAAGAUACAGCAGUGUGAAAGAGGCCUGGAUGAAAAAACAAAGACAGAGCCAGUGAGCCAGAGCCAGAGCCAGAGGACAAGAGAGAAAGGCAGAGAAUGGAAAACACAGACAGAGAAGGCAGAUGCGUAGAGAGACAGAGAUUCAAUGAGAAAAUAAGGAAGGAAGAAAGAAAGAAAACAAAAACGUUCUCAGCACUACAACUUCUGCCUUGUUCUGUUCCAGAACAGUAUGAGCUCAGUACUUUUUCAGACUCUCAAUUUUCUACAACUAAUAAUUUGCUCUUUCAGUUAGUGGCAAAGGCUUAACGACAAAGGUUCAUCUUUAAUAUUAGAGAGGCACUUUUAAAAUUUAUGAUGCUAAGCCUUUUGUUCUGGAUAUGGUAUGUUGCACAGGUCUAGGGACUGGGAUUUCAGAUGUCUAUUCCGUACCCUUAUUCUUUUAUUUAUUAAAUCUUUUAGUGUGUAUUUUUUUCUAUUUUCUCUUCUUUUAUUAGUAUGUAUUUCUUGAGUCAUUAACAUACAACAUAUAUAGGACUUCCUCUGAGGAUACAAUAAUGUAUAUGAUGGACAAGAUACGUAAAAGUGCCUUGAAGAGACUUGGUCUUGUGAGGGGACAGACAGGAAACAGGCAAUUAUCACCUAACUUAGGUCUGUUGUUUCAAGGUAAAAUAAGAAUAAUAACAUCUGUGUUGGCUGGGAUGUUGUGAGUGUUUGUGGAGAUAAUAGUACAAAUGAAAUUACUGAGGGACAAUGGUGAAGAUAGGGCCAUAUCAUGGAGCUUACACUAGUGAUGGAAGGAGAUGGGAGAUACAAAAGCAAGUCAAUAUUUCAGAUUUCGUAAAUGAAUGGCAAGCAUAGAGCAGUGAGGCAGAGAAUGACUGGAGAAAGAGACUAUGUUAAACUGGAUAGUAAAGGAAGAGCAGGACCCCACUAAACUAUAUGGAGUUUUGUGCAAAUCACAUGAACACACGUAGAACAUUUUAGGCUGCUCAUGUGACUUUGGAUUUGUCCUAAGGGCAAUAGUAAGCCUUUGAACUGCUUUAGCAUGAUAGGAUUUUAAAAGAUCACUGGCUGCUGUGUGAACAAAAAUAAUGUUGUAAAGAAAAGGAUAUUAGCUGUAUCAGAUCAGCUGGAGACUACUGAAAUAACCCAAGCUGGCUUGGACUACAUAGGAGUAGUGUAAACUCAUUCAUUCAUGCAAGAAAUACUUACUGAGUGCCUACUCAGUACCAGACCCUUUUCUAGGACAUGGAGUUAUAGCAGUGAACAAUAUAGAAAAAAAUCCCCGAAUUCAUGGAGACUCCAGUGAGCAGAGACAAAAAAAUAGCAACUAAAUAAGUUAAAAGGAAUUGAGUACCCUAUAAAAGUUUAUCAGGGAAAUGUUAUAAGGAAUGACUUUCGGAGUAAUGGGUAGUGAUCUUAAAUGUAUGGUCAAUGAAAAUCAGAAGUUGUAGAGAAGUGGAUAAAUUCACAGUACGUUUUAAAGUAGACCUAAUAAGACUUAAUGAAUUUGAUGUGGCAAGUGAGAAAAAUACAUCAAGGAUGAUGACUUUUAUAAUUUGACUUGAGUAUCUGGGAACAAACAAGUACAGUGCCAUAAUAAGGGCAGAAAAUUUUCCAUUCACUCAGCAACUUAUGAACUCAUUUGCUUAGUCUUUAUUGCCUCUUGCAUUAUGUAGUUUUCACUUUGCUGGAGUACUUGUAUAGAAGAUCACCAGUGAAGAAGCCAGAGAUGGUUUAUUUGGUCAUCCCAAUAAUACAUCUUAUUGUUAAUUAACUCUCAAGGGUUUUUUUUCACAAUUUUAGAAAAGGUUUAAGCAAAUGAAUUAUUUAACAUGAAUUGGCUAUGUGACCCUACUAUAAGGUGUUUAAAACACCAACAGCUUAAACUUCUUAGAUCAAAGGACAUCCUCCAGGCCAAAAUGUUUCCACUGGAACGGUUUCUUUGCUUCCUGAUUAAAAGCUUCCCUAAUAUAUUUCCACGUGUUAUUACAUAUUUUCGUAUUCACUUUGAUGGAAAGCAAGAAUAGCAGCCAAAUACAUAUUUCAUGCAUUCUUUUGAUUAAAAAUGAUAAAGGUAAUAUUAGUGUUUUUUUCUUUCUCACCUCCAAUUUAUGAAGUGGAAAUAAUUUUCCAUGGAAUGGCCAACUAAAGAAAAGAAAUAUGAUAAAUUCAGAUCAUAUCAUUGUUCCAUUUAUCCUUGUACCCUGUCUGUGACAGAAUACCUGAUGUUUGGGAUAUAACAAAAAUAGAUGCAUAGAAUCAUAGAGUUUAAGAAUGUAAAAGACUUUUGAAAUCAGCCAUUCUAAUACCCUAAUUUUUAAGAUAGACAAAAAAUGGUCUCCGGAAGGAUAAAUAGUCUAACAAAGGUCAUGCAUUGAGAACAAACCUAAUAUGAGCCAAGAUGGCCGAAUAGGAAC
rnacentral:lncRNA from 1 species